UCAGGACGAACGCUGGCGGCGUGCUUAACACAUGCAAGUCGAACGGGGAUAUUAUUGGAAGGGUUUCGGGCCUGGAAGGUGAUAUUCGAGUGGCGGACGGGUGAGUAACGCGUGAGCAAUCUGUCCCAGACAGGGGGAUAACACUUGGAAACAGGUGCUAAUACCGCAUAAGACCACGGCAUCACAUGGUGCAGGGGUAAAAGGAGGAAUCCGGUUUGGGGUGAGCUCGCGUCCGAUUAGCCAGUUGGCGGGGUAACGGCCCACCAAAGCGACGAUCGGUAGCCGAUCUGAGAGGAUGACCGGCCACAUUGGAACUGAGAGACGGUCCAAACUCCUACGGGAGGCAGCAGUGGGGAAUAUUGGGCAAUGGGCGAAAGCCUGACCCAGCAACGCCGCGUGAAGGAUGAAGUAUUUCGGUAUGUAAACUUCUAUCAGCAAGGAAGAAAAUGACGGUACUUGACUAAGAAGCCCCGGCUAAAUACGUGCCAGCCGCCGC
rnacentral:rRNA from 1 species